rnacentral:rRNA from 1 species
GACGAACGCUGGCGGCGUGCCUAACACAUGCAAGUCGAACGAGGUCCAAGGAAGCUUGCUUCCUGAAGACCUAGUGGCGAACGGGUGAGUAACACGUGAGAAACCUGCCUCGGAGUGGGGAAUAACUCGGGGAAACUCGAGCUAAUACCGCAUACCUUCACAUGAUCGCAUGGUCGAGUGAAGAAGAAUUUCGCUCUGAGAGGGUCUCACGGCCUAUCAGCUUGUUGGUGGGGUAACGGCCUACCAAGGCAACGACGGUAGGCUGGUUUGAGAGAACGAUCAGCCACACUGGGACUGAGACACGGCCCAGACUCCUACGGGAGGCAGCAGUGGGGAAUCUUGCGCAAUGGGCGAAAGCCUGACGCAGCAACGCCGCGUGCGGGAUGACGGCCUUCGUGGUUGUAAACCGCUUUCAGCAGGACGGAAAAUAGACGGUACCUGCAGAAGAAGCCCCGGCUAACUACGUGCCAGCAGCCGCGGU